rnacentral:rRNA from 1 species
UCUGGUUGAUCCUGCCAGUAGUUAUAUGCUUGUCUCAAAGAUUAAGCCAUGCAUGUCUAAGUACACACGAAUUAAAAGUGAAUCCGCAAAAGGCUCAUUAUAUCAGUUAUGGUUCCUUAGAUCGUUAACAGUUACUUGGAUAACUGUGGUAAUUCUAGAGCUAAUACAUGCAAUUAAAACACGGACCUUAUGGGACGUGUGCUUUUAUUAGGCUAAAACCAAGCGAUCGUAAGAUCGUUACAUUGGUUGAACUCUAGAUAACAUGCAGAUCGUAUGGUCUUGUACCGACGACAGAUCUUUCAAAUGUCUGCCCUAUCAACUUUUGAUGGUAGUAUCUAGGACUACCAUGGUUGCAACGGGUAACGGGGAAUCAGGGUUCGAUUCCGGAGAGGGAGCCUGAGAAACGGCUACCACAUCUAAGGAAGGCAGCAGGCGCGUAAAUUACCCACUCCCAGCUCGGGGAGGUAGUGACGAAAAAUAACAAUACAGGACUCAUAUCCGAGGCCCUGUAAUUGGAAUGAGUACACUUUAAAUCCUUUAACAAGGACCAAUUGGAGGGCAAGUCUGGUGCCAGCAGCCGCGGUAAUUCCAGCUCCAAUAGCGUAUAUUAAAGUUGUUGCGGUUAAAACGUUCGUAGUUGAACUUGUGCUUCAUACGGGUAGUACAACUUACAAUUGUGGUUAGUACUAUACCUUUAUGUAUGUAAGCGUAUUACCGGUGGAGUUCUUAUAUAUAAUUAAGUACUUGUAUUUUUUUAUAUAUUCCUCCUAUUUAAAAACCUGCAUUAGUGCUCUUCAUCGAGUGUUAUUGUGGGCCGGUACAAUUACUUUGAACAAAUUAGAGUGCUUAAAGCAGGCUUCAAAUGCCUGAAUAUUCUGUGCAUGGGAUAAUGAAAUAAGACCUCUGUUCUGCUUUCAUUGGUUUUCAGAUCAAGAGGUAAUGAUUAAUAGAAGCAGUUUGGGGGCAUUAGUAUUACGACGCGAGAGGUGAAAUUCUUGGACCGUCGUAAGACUAACUUAAGCGAAAGCAUUUGCCAAAGAUGUUUUCAUUAAUCAAGAACGAAAGUUAGAGGUUCGAAGGCGAUCAGAUACCGCCCUAGUUCUAACCAUAAACGAUGCCAGCUAGCAAUUGGGUGUAGCUACUUUUAUGGCUCUCUCAGUCGCUUCCCGGGAAACCAAAGCUUUUGGGCUCCGGGGGAAGUAUCAUAGCUAUGGGCAUACAUUGGUUAAUGCAACAGCCUAAAAAGUACAAUGUUGUACCUGAUUUCAGGUUAAUACUUUUAUAUAAAUUGAUAAUUAUCAAACAAGCCAAAAUACAUAUUAUAUUAUUUAACAAUAUGGUAAUAUAUCGCUUAUAUAAAACUAAGACAUUUCGCAACAUUCUUUUAGGAUAAAACUAAAAUUUAUUGAAGGAAUUGAUAUAUGCCAGUAAAAUGGUGUAUUUUUAAUUUCUUUCAAUAAAGACAUAUCUGACAAAUAAAUGAAUAAACAAAUUUUAAUCACUCUAAGCGGUGGAUCACUCGGCUCAUGGGUCGAUGAAGAACGCAGCAAACUGUGCGUCAUCGUGUGAACUGCAGGACACAUG